UUCUUCCUUGUGCUGCCAGAUAUCCUUGCGUUUUCUUCUUCUCACGCGAACUCCAGCCAGUGACGUCGUCAUUUCGCCCAGACCACCGUCCACUGUUGCCAACCUCGAAUCUCGCCGGGAGACGCAUUUUGUCGUUCAUUCGCGGGCCCAGCUGUAAGUGGAACGUCGCUGUUCGCCGAUUCAACCUUUCCGUCGCUACCGGUGGAGUCAUUGGUGUGCAGGUCGCGCCGGUGCCAUCCAGUGGGCUCACCGAAGGUUUCGCCGGGUUGAAGAUUGCGGGUAUUUCAAGUUAGUGUCCAACAAGAAAUGUGGGCGUUUGGGCGAAUUCUUGAGUGGAUUUGUGAUUGACGUUUCAUAGGGGAGUUGAAGCAAACUGCAUAUUUAGGCAAGGACAAGGACAAACCGAUAAAUGACAAAAAGAAUCUGUAAUCGUGCUAUUGGGACCAGACAGAUGCUUUCGCUAAUAUUUUCAUAUUUUCAUAUUUUCAUGCUUGAAACGAGUCUUAGAAUUUGAAAUUUAGCUUUUGUAUGUUAAACUUUUAAAUUCUUAUGAUUUUAUCUUUUAUUUUUUUAGGGUGACCUCAAACAAAUGUUUUAACUUGUUUUAGUGAAAUUUUAUCAAUUUUAUUUGACAUAUGAGA